ACUAACAAGGAUUCCCCUAGUAACUGCGAGUGAAGCGGGAAAAGCUCAAAUUUAAAAUCUAAUGGUCCUUGGCCAUUCGAGUUGUAAUUUAGAGAAGCGUCUUCCGCGCCAGACCAUGUACAAGUCUCCUGGAACGGAGCGUCAUAGAGGGUGAGAAUCCCGUCUUUGACAUGGACCCUUGGUGCUUCUGUGAUGCGCUCUCAAAGAGUCGAGUUGUUUGGGAAUGCAGCUCAAAAUGGGUGGUGAACUCCAUCUAAGGCUAAAUAUUGGCGAGAGACCGAUAGCGAACAAGUACCGUGAGGGAAAGAUGAAAAGCACUUUGGAAAGAGAGUGAAACAGUACGUGAAAUUGUUGAAAGGGAAACACUUGAAGUCAGUCGCGUCGAUCGAGACUCRGCCUCGCCUUUGGCUUGGCGUACUUCUCGACUUGACGGGCCAGCAUCAAUUUCGUCCCUCGGAUAAUGGCAGGGGAAAGGUGGCACCUUCACGGGUGUGUUAUAGUCUCUUGUCGCAUGCGAGGGGUGGGAUUGAGGAACUCAGCACGCACCUCACGGUGUCGGGGCUUCGGCCCACGUUACGUGCUCAGGAUGCCGGCGUAAUGGCUUUAAAUGACCCGUCUUGAAACACGGACCAAGGAGUCUAACAUGCCUGCGAGUGUUCGGGUGGAAAACCCGUGUGCGUAAUGAAAGUAAAAGUUGGGACCUCUGUCGUGGAGGGCACCGACGCCCGGACCAGACCUUCUGUGACGGAUCUGCGGUAGAGCAUGCAUGUUGGGACCCGAAAGAUGGUGAACUAUGCCUGAAUAGGGUGAAGCCAGAGGAAACUCUGGUGGAGGCUCGUAGCGAUUCUGACGUGCAAAUCGAUCGUCAAAUUUGGGUAUAGGGGCGAAAGACUAAUCGAAC
rnacentral:rRNA from 2 species